ACGUCAUAAUCGGAGGGUCCGGAUUCUGACAACACAACCCAUUUAACCGCACUACUGAAAACCAGCAGCAGUUUUACAGAAAACACAGUACCCAGAAACAAAAACAGCACCCAAAAAAGCCAAAAACCAGGAAAAUUUAAAGAGAGAAAAAAACUGUAUAAGUGAUGAAUGUUAUCUCCUGUUCUUCCUCUUCAGAUGCAACUACUUCACAUUAUUACAUUUCAAUCCCAAGAACUUUUAUUUUUAUUCUAAUCUUUCUGUUUGUAAUUGGUUUUGGUGUUCCCCUUUUUAUCCUUAUAGAAGUUAAAAAUGCUCUAUUCUUCCUUGCUUCGCUUUCUCUUUCCGCCAUUGUUGCCGCCAUUAUUAUCUGGAAUGCGGUUUCCUUCCGCCGUAACACCUCGCUUCUUCUAUUCCUGCGCUCUUUUCCUGUCUCCGACCUCCGCCUCGCCCGAAAUGGGCAACUUGUCAAGAUUACUGGGGUAAUUUCACUUACUUUGGUGUAUUAUUUUUUUGGGUUUGAUUGUUUUAAAUUUCUGGGGCUUGUAAUUUUGAAUUGGGUAAGUUACAAUGUGGUAGAAUCUGAAUGUUUAAUAUAAUAAUAGUGUUGUGUUGAUGUCAGCCAGUUUCGUGCGGUGAAGUAUCGUUAGAAUCAUCUUUUGAAAAUGUUGGUGGAUGCGUUUAUAUCUACUCUUUUGUAUGAAUAUCAAGGAUUUGGAUUCAAGGCUUUCAAUCUUAAACAACCAUGUUUUCUCUGGAGAUUAGCUUUUUCUGAGGCUCUCUACAGACUUCUACAUAUCUGACAAAAAUUCAGGCAUCCGAAUUUUGGUAAAAGCUGGAUGCGGAUGUAGAAUCGUUCCCCUAAUCAUUGAGAGCAGGCUUGUGAAUACAAGGAAACACAGAAUCCUAUCCCCCAACUUGACAAAAUGGCUGACAGACAGAAAUCUUGCAACCAACUCUCGUGUGAUACGCCUUGAAGAAGGCUAUAUAAAAGAAGGUGACUGUGCCACUAUCAUAGGCAUGCUGCAUAGAAGGGGUGAUGAUAUUGCAAUGGUUGUUCAGCCACCCGAGCUCAUCUCCACAGGCUGUCUGUGGCAAAGACUACUAUCUCCUGUUAAUUUUGAUGGUCUACUACUCGGCCUUCCCUAAUGUCACCCACCUUGCUGAUACAAGUUAUAUACCAUAUCCUGAUGAAGUACUUAACCCAAAUGUAGUAAAAAUGCAGGGAUUUUGACUUCAUUCUGUAACCAUAGUCCAUAGCACUGCCAUUGAAGAAGUCAACAGAUGAACAUUCUUGACUUUCAUAAAACUUGCCAAAGUUUUAAUAGUAUCAUGUAGCAUAAUCUACAGAUAGAAUUAAUGGGAGUUACAUCAAGAUUUGCACCACCUUUUUUGGGAUGUGAUAAUAUAUAAACAGAAUAGCAUGAAUUUAAGCUGAUGUUUACUGCAUCUUUUACUGAUAGACAGAGGGAUUAAGAUCGAGUUCUUUGGAGGAAUACUUGAUUAUUUACAAAUCUAAGUAAAGUUCUCUCCUGAAACUAAUACCCCUUUGAAUACUUCAGUUUUUUGUUUGUCCCAA